GGACAAUUUAGUCUCUGCUGGACAGGGAUCAAUGGCUUUGGGCUAGACAGACAGGCGUGACCUGCUGUUGGCCCAGCUGACUCAGCCAAUCGGCAUUCCUGGAUGGGUGGAAGUGCACCGGCCCUUGUCCACCAGCAACAAAGGAGAUGAUGGAAGGCAAGCGAGUGCAAAACAGGGGCCAGCUUUGAAUAAAAACACUAGUGGCAUGUAUCAAUGACUUACACAAGCCAUAAAUCAUUACAAUGAGGGGAGGAGCUUUUAUUGUCUUGCUUUCUCUUUGUCACAUUCAUACACACAGACACACACACCACACACAUGCACACACACACACACACACACACACACACACACACACACACACACACA